rnacentral:lncRNA from 1 species
AAUGUGAUCUAUGGCAAGGAAACAUAUGUGGGGUGAGGUGUAUGAGCCUCUGGUCGACGAUCAAUGGCCACACAACCCUAAUUUUUGUCGAAAAUAGCCAUGAACGACCAUUUUCAAUGACACUGAAGGCUAACACCUACGGAUUUUUGACCAAGAAAUGGUCUCCACCAUAAAUCCAAGAAUGUGAUCUAUGGCAAGGAAACAUAUGUGUAGUGAGGUGUAUGAGCCUCUGGUCGAAGAUCAAUGGCCACACAACCCCCAUUUUUGUCGAAAAUAGCCAUGAAUGACCAUUUUCAAAAAUACCAAAGGCUAACACGUACGGAUUUUUGACCAAGAAAUGGUCUCCACCAGAAAUCCAAGAAUGUGAUCUAUGGCAAGGAAACAUAUGUGGGGUGAGGUGUACGAGCCUCUGGUCGAUGAUCAAUGGCCACACAACCCCCAUUUUGCCGAAAAUAGCCAUGAACGACCAUUUUCAAUAAUACCGAAGGCUAACACGUACGAGUUUUUAACCAAGAAAUGGUCUCCACCAGAAAUCCAAGAAUGUGAUCUAUGGCAAGGAAACAUAUGUGGGGUGAGGUUUAUGAGCCUCUAGUCGAUGAUAAAUGGCCACACAACCCCCAUUUUUUAUGAAAAUAGCCAUGAGCGACCUUGAAAAUAGCCAUGAGCGACCAUUUUCAAUAAUACUAGAGGCUAACACCUACGGAUUUUAGACCAAGAAAUGGUCUCCACCAGAAAUCCAAGAAUGUGAUCUAUGGCAAGGAAACAUAUGUGGGGUGAGGUGUAUGAGCGUCUGGUCGAUGAUCAAUGGCCACACAACCCCCAUUUUUGUCGAAAAUAGCCAUGAACGACCAUUUUCAAUAAUACCGAAGGCUAACACCUACGGAUUUUUGACCAAGAAAUGGUCUCCACCAGAAAUCCAAGAAUGUGAUCUAUGGCAAGGAAACAUAUGUGGGGUGAGGUGUAUGAGCCUCUGGUCGACGAUCAAUGGCCACACAACCCCAUUUUUGUCGAAAAUAGCCAUGAACGACCAUUUUCAAUAACUGAAGGCUAACACCUACGGAUUUUUGACCAAGAAAUGGUCUCCACCAAAAUCCAAGAAUGUGAUCUAUGACAAGGAAACAUAUGUGUAGUGAGGUGUAUGAGCCUCUGGUCGAAGAUCAAUGGCCACACAACCCCCAUUUUUGUCGAAAAUAGCCAUGAAUGACCAUUUUCAAAAUACCAAAGGCUAACACUACGGAUUUUUGACCAAGAAAUGGUCUCCACCAGAAAUCCAAGAAUGUGAUCUAUGGCAAGGAAACAUAUGUGGGGUGAGGUGUACGAGCCUCUGGUCGAUGAUCAAUGGCCACACAACCCCCAUUUUGCCGAAAAUAGCCAUGAACGACCAUUUUCAAUAAUACCGAAGGCUAACACGUACGAGUUUUUAACCAAGAAAUGGUCUCCACCAGAAAUCCAAGAAUGUGAUCUAUGGCAAGGAAACAUAUGUGGGGUGAGGUUUAUGAGCCUCUAGUCGAUGAUAAAUGGCCACACAACCCCCAUUUUUUAUGAAAAUAGCCAUGAGCGACCUUGAAAAUAGCCAUGAGCGACCAUUUUCAAUAAUACUAGAGGCUAACACCUACGGAUUUUAGACCAAGAAAUGGUCUCCACCAGAAAUCCAAGAAUGUGAUCUAUGGCAAGGAAACAUAUGUGGGGUGAGGUGUAUGAGCGUCUGGUCGAUGAUCAAUGGCCACACAACCCCCAUUUUUGUCGAAAAUAGCCAUGAACGACCAUUUUCAAUAAUACCGAAGGCUAACACCUACGGAUUUUUGACCAAGAAAUGGUCUCCACCAGAAAUCCAAGAAUGUGAUCUAUGGCAAGGAAACAUAUGUGGGGUGAGGUGUAUGAGCCUCUGGUCGAUGAUCAAUGGCCACACAACCCCAUUUUUGUCGAAAAUAGCCAUGAACGACCAUUUUCAAUAAUACGAAGGCUAACACCUACGGAUUUUUGACCAAGAAAUGGUCUCCACCAAAAUCCAAGAAUGUGAUCUAUGCAAGGAAACAUAUGUGGGUGAGGUGUAUGAGCCUCUGGUCGAAGAUCAAUGGCCACACAACCCCCAUUUUUGUCGAAAAUAGCCAUGAAUGACCAUUUUCAAAAUACCAAGGCUAACACUACGGAUUUUUGACCAAGAAAUGGUCUCCACCAGAAAUCCAAGAAUGUGAUCUAUGGCAAGGAAACAUAUGUGGGGUGAGGUGUACGAGCCUCUGGUCGAUGAUCAAUGGCCACACAACCCCCAUUUUGCCGAAAAUAGCCAUGAAUGACCAUUUUCAAUAAUACCGAAGGCUAACACGUACGAGUUUUUGACCAAGAAAUGGUCUCCACCAAAAUCCAAGAAUGUGAUCUAUGGCAAGGAAACAUAUGUGGGGUGAGGUUUAUGAGCCUCUAGUCGAUGAUAAAUGGCCACACAACCCCCAUUUUUUAUGAAAAUAGCCAUGAGCGACCAUUUUCAAUAAUAUAGAGGCUAAACCUACGGAUUUUUGACCAAGAAAUGGUCUCCACCAGAAAUCCAAGAAUGUGAUCUAUGGCAAGGAAACAUAUGUGGGGUGAGGUGUAUGAGCCUCUGGUCGAUGAUCAAUGGCCACACAACCCCAUUUUUGUCGAAAAUAGCCAUGAACGACCAUUUUCAAUAAUACCGAAGGCUAACACCUACGGAUUUUUGACCAAGAAAUGGUCUCCACCAGAAAUCCAAGAAUGUGAUCUAUGGCAAGGAAACAUAUGUGGGGUGAGGUGUAUGAGCCUCUGGUCGAUGAUCAAUGGCCACACAACCCCCAUUUUUGUCGAAAAUAGCCAUGAACGACCAUUUUCAAUAAUAUCGAAGGCUAACACCUACGGAUUUUUGACCAAGAAAUGGUCUCCACCAGAAAUCCAAGAAUGUGAUCUACGACAAGGAAACAUAUGUGGGUGAGGUGUAUGAGCCUCUGGUCGACGAUCAAUGGCCACACAACCCCCAUUUUGCCGAAAAUAGCCAUGAAUGACCAUUUUCAAUAAUACCGAAGGCUAACACGUACGAGUUUUUAACCAAGAAAUGGUUUCCACCAGAAAUCCAAGAAUGUAAUCUAUGGCAAGGAAACAUAUGUGGGGUGAGGUGUACGAGCCUCUGGUCGAUGAUCAAUGGCCACACAACCCCCAUUUUGCCGAAAAUAGCCAUGAACGACCAUUUUCAAUAAUACCGAAGGCUAACACGUACGAGUUUUUGACCAAGAAAUGGUCUCCACCAGAAAUCCAAGAAUGUGAUCUAUGGCAAGGAAACAUAUGUGGGGUGAGGUUAUGAGCCUCUAGUCGAUGAUAAAUGGCCACACAACCCCCAUUUUUUAUGAAAAUAGCCAUGAGCGACCAUUUUCAAUAAUACUAGAGGCUAACACCUACGGAUUUUUUACCAAGAAAUGGUCUCCACCAGAAAUCCAAGAAUGUGAUCUAUGGCAAGGAAACAUAUGUGGGGUGAGGUGUAUGAGCCUCUGGUCGAUGAUCAAUGGCCACACAACCCCCAUUUUUGUCGAAAAUAGCCAUGAACGACCAUUUUCAAUAAUACCGAAGGCUAACACCUACGGAUUUUUGACCAAGAAAUGGUCUCCACCAGAAAUCCAAGAAUGUGAUCUAUGGCAAGGAAACAUAUGUGGGGUGAGGUGUAUGAGCCUCUGGUCGAUGAUCAAUGGCCACACAACCCCCAUUUUUGUCGAAAAUAGCCAUGAACGACCAUUUUCAAUAAUACGAAGGCUAACACCUACGGAUUUUUGACCAAGAAAUGGUCUCCACCAGAAAUCCAAGAAUGUGAUCUAUGGCAAGGAAACAUAUGUGGGGUGAGGUGUAUGAGCCUCUGGUCGACGAUCAAUGGCCACACAACCCUAUUUUUGUCGAAAAUAGCCAUGAACGACCAUUUUCAAUGACACUGAAGGCUAACACCUACGGAUUUUUGACCAAGAAAUGGUCUCCACCAUAAAUCCAAGAAUGUGAUCUAUGGCAAGGAAACAUAUGUGUAGUGAGGUGUAUGAGCCUCUGGUCGAAGAUCAAUGGCCACACAACCCCCAUUUUUGUCGAAAAUAGCCAUGAAUGACCAUUUUCAAAAAUACCAAAGGCUAACACAUUCGGAUUUUUGCCCAAGAAAUGGUCUCCACCAGAAAUCCAAGAAUGUGAUCUAUGGCAAGGAAACAUAUGUGGGGUGAGGUGUACGAGCCUCUGGUCGAUGAUCAAUGGCCACAAACCCCCAUUUUGCCGAAAAUAGCCAUGAAUGACCAUUUUCAAUAAUACCGAAGGCUAACACGUACGAGUUUUUGACCAAGAAAUGGUCUCCACCAAAAAUCCAAGAAUGUGAUCUAUGGCAAGGAAACAUAUGAGGGGUGAGGUUUAUGAGCCUCUAGUCGAUGAUAAAUGGCCACACAACCCCCAUUUUUUAUGAAAAUAGCCAUGAGCGACCAUUUUCAAUAAUAUUAGAGGCUAAGACCUACGGAUUUUUGACCAAGAAAUGGUCUCCACCAGAAAUCUAAGAAUGUGAUCUAUGGCAAGGAAACAUAUGUGGGGUGAGGUGUAUGAGCCUCUGGUCGAUGAUCAAUGGCCACACAACCC